UUUUAUUAAAAAAUGUAACACGAACAUUGUUAUACUCUUUAAUAGAAUUAAAAUAAUGAACAGUGCAUAAUUUGUCAAUAAUAUGAGGAAGUUGAACAAAAUACUUGAAGUCUGCAGAAAUAUCUUAAAAUCGAUUUGUUAUUAUUGACAUUGAAGUACGAUCGUCAUUUAAAAGCCAUACAAGUUUUGACAUGUUGCGAACAUUUUGCUGUCUUAUGCAAAAGUAUCUAACCGGCUGCCAUCUCAACACUCAACAAUAAUCAGAAUUAAGAAUUAAGCCUGACAACAGGCUGGCUGACUUUCAGACUUUCUGGCUGGUUGGAUGGUGUGUUACAUGUUACGUCGUUUAAUGCCUUGGCUGUUUUGACUGACAAGUGACAGCGGAUCAACGGUUGCCGCAAAAGAAUCCACAAUGUAUCCCAAUGCAAUACUCUCGUACUCUUAUUCGUAUUUCGUAUUUCGCAUUUCGCAUUUAUACACCUUUGUUGUGGGCCUCUAUGAUUAAUCUGCACAGCGUUUCAGGCGAUUUAGGCGUUUCGGCAUACCAGCAACACCUUAUUCGUCAUCCCAACAUCCCCACCAAUGAAUGAAGGUGAUUAAGAUUCGGAUACCCCGCACAAUUUUAUACACUAUCGCUGAUUGGUGAAUCCAUUAAUAGUGCUCUUCAUUUGUCCAUCACAAAAGAUCGCUAAUAAAUUAUAUUUUCUUAAUUGUUUGAAAGUGAAAAGGGAGCUUGACAUCUCUCUAAUCGAUUUUAUGGUAAAUUCUUUUAAAUGUGAUUUCAUUAAUAUUUAUAUUUUUAAAAAUUGUAGAAAUAUAUACAUCUUUAACAAACGAAACAAUUGAGUGUU